GGUUAAGCGACUAAGCGUACACGGUGGAUGCCCUGGCAGUCAGAGGCGAUGAAGGACGUGCUAAUCUGCGAUAAGCGUCGGUAAGGUGAUAUGAACCGUUAUAACCGGCGAUUUCCGAAUGGGGAAACCCAGUGUGAUUCGUCACACUAUCAUUAACUGAAUCCAUAGGUUAAUGAGGCGAACCGGGGGAACUGAAACAUCUAAGUACCCCGAGGAAAAGAAAUCAACCGAGAUUCCCCCAGUAGCGGCGAGCGAACGGGGAGCAGCCCAGAGCCUGAAUCAGUGUGUGUGUUAGUGGAAGCGUCUGGAAAGGCGCGCGAUACAGGGUGACAGCCCCGUACACAAAAAUGCACAUACUGUGAGCUCGAUGAGUAGGGCGGGACACGUGGUAUCCUGUCUGAAUAUGGGGGGACCAUCCUCCAAGGCUAAAUACUCCUGACUGACCGAUAGUGAACCAGUACCGUGAGGGAAAGGCGAAAAGAACCCCGGCGAGGGGAGUGAAAAAGAACCUGAAACCGUGUACGUACAAGCAGUGGGAGCACGCUUAGGCGUGUGACUGCGUACCUUUUGUAUAAUGGGUCAGCGACUUAUAUUCUGUAGCAAGGUUAACCGAAUAGGGGAGCCGAAGGGAAACCGAGUCUUAACUGGGCGUUAAGUUGCAGGGUAUAGACCCGAAACCCGGUGAUCUAGCCAUGGGCAGGUUGAAGGUUGGGUAACACUAACUGGAGGACCGAACCGACUAAUGUUGAAAAAUUAGCGGAUGACUUGUGGCUGGGGGUGAAAGGCCAAUCAAACCGGGAGAUAGCUGGUUCUCCCCGAAAGCUAUUUAGGUAGCGCCUCGUGAAUUCAUCUCCGGGGGUAGAGCACUGUUUCGGCAAGGGGGUCAUCCCGACUUACCAACCCGAUGCAAACUGCGAAUACCGGAGAAUGUUAUCACGGGAGACACACGGCGGGUGCUAACGUCCGUCGUGAAGAGGGAAACAACCCAGACCGCCAGCUAAGGUCCCAAAGUCAUGGUUAAGUGGGAAACGAUGUGGGAAGGCCCAGACAGCCAGGAUGUUGGCUUAGAAGCAGCCAUCAUUUAAAGAAAGCGUAAUAGCUCACUGGUCGAGUCGGCCUGCGCGGAAGAUGUAACGGGGCUAAACCAUGCACCGAAGCUGCGGCAGCGACGCUUAUGCGUUGUUGGGUAGGGGAGCGUUCUGUAAGCCUGUGAAGGUGUGCUGUGAGGCAUGCUGGAGGUAUCAGAAGUGCGAAUGCUGACAUAAGUAACGAUAAAGCGGGUGAAAAGCCCGCUCGCCGGAAGACCAAGGGUUCCUGUCCAACGUUAAUCGGGGCAGGGUGAGUCGACCCCUAAGGCGAGGCCGAAAGGCGUAGUCGAUGGGAAACAGGUUAAUAUUCCUGUACUUGGUGUUACUGCGAAGGGGGGACGGAGAAGGCUAUGUUGGCCGGGCGACGGUUGUCCCGGUUUAAGCGUGUAGGCUGGUUUUCCAGGCAAAUCCGGAAAAUCAAGGCUGAGGCGUGAUGACGAGGCACUACGGUGCUGAAGCAACAAAUGCCCUGCUUCCAGGAAAAGCCUCUAAGCAUCAGGUAACAUCAAAUCGUACCCCAAACCGACACAGGUGGUCAGGUAGAGAAUACCAAGGCGCUUGAGAGAACUCGGGUGAAGGAACUAGGCAAAAUGGUGCCGUAACUUCGGGAGAAGGCACGCUGAUAUGUAGGUGAAGUCCCUCGCGGAUGGAGCUGAAAUCAGUCGAAGAUACCAGCUGGCUGCAACUGUUUAUUAAAAACACAGCACUGUGCAAACACGAAAGUGGACGUAUACGGUGUGACGCCUGCCCGGUGCCGGAAGGUUAAUUGAUGGGGUCAGCGCAAGCGAAGCUCUUGAUCGAAGCCCCGGUAAACGGCGGCCGUAACUAUAACGGUCCUAAGGUAGCGAAAUUCCUUGUCGGGUAAGUUCCGACCUGCACGAAUGGCGUAAUGAUGGCCAGGCUGUCUCCACCCGAGACUCAGUGAAAUUGAACUCGCUGUGAAGAUGCAGUGUACCCGCGGCAAGACGGAAAGACCCCGUGAACCUUUACUAUAGCUUGACACUGAACAUUGAGCCUUGAUGUGUAGGAUAGGUGGGAGGCUUUGAAGUGUGGACGCCAGUCUGCAUGGAGCCGACCUUGAAAUACCACCCUUUAAUGUUUGAUGUUCUAACGUUGACCCGUAAUCCGGGUUGCGGACAGUGUCUGGUGGGUAGUUUGACUGGGGCGGUCUCCUCCUAAAGAGUAACGGAGGAGCACGAAGGUUGGCUAAUCCUGGUCGGACAUCAGGAGGUUAGUGCAAUGGCAUAAGCCAGCUUGACUGCGAGCGUGACGGCGCGAGCAGGUGCGAAAGCAGGUCAUAGUGAUCCGGUGGUUCUGAAUGGAAGGGCCAUCGCUCAACGGAUAAAAGGUACUCCGGGGAUAACAGGCUGAUACCGCCCAAGAGUUCAUAUCGACGGCGGUGUUUGGCACCUCGAUGUCGGCUCAUCACAUCCUGGGGCUGAAGUAGGUCCCAAGGGUAUGGCUGUUCGCCAUUUAAAGUGGUACGCGAGCUGGGUUUAGAACGUCGUGAGACAGUUCGGUCCCUAUCUGCCGUGGGCGCUGGAGAACUGAGGGGGGCUGCUCCUAGUACGAGAGGACCGGAGUGGACGCAUCACUGGUGUUCGGGUUGUCAUGCCAAUGGCACUGCCCGGUAGCUAAAUGCGGAAGAGAUAAGUGCUGAAAGCAUCUAAGCACGAAACUUGCCCCGAGAUGAGUUCUCCCUGACUCCUUGAGAGUCCUGAAGGAACGUUGAAGACGACGACGUUGAUAGGCCGGGUGUGUAAGCGCAGCGAUGCGUUGAGCUAACCGGUACUAAUGAACCGUGAGGCUUAACCUU
rnacentral:rRNA from 1 species